rnacentral:lncRNA from 10 species
CUGCCACAGCUUCGGGACGACUGGAUCGCCGCGCCUGGGCCGGAGCGAGCCAUCUGCGGGCACUAUGCAAAGCGGGAGACGGCGCGAGCGGCGCCCGGCUCACACUAGCUCUUCCAGGACGCAGAGAGAACCAUUCUCUGCUUUCAAUAGGACAGAAGAGCUCCUUGGCACUGGAUGCCUCCGGGUCUGGUUGAGAGAGGAAUGGUUAGGAGACUGUUCUGAGGAUACGCAGACAUCAUCCAAAGCUUCCUACAUUCAGAUGAGGACAGAGGUUGGGCCAGAGCUUUGUAAGCUUGUUACCUAAGGAUGGUUCUGACCAUGUAAGCAGAUCACAGAAGCUGGAGGCAAAGGAUGCCAAGAUGGGAAAGCCACAUAAUGGAAGGAUCCUGGAUUUCAGAGCUGUCACUUGGAGGAGGGGCACCCAGUGAAGGUGUCUUAUCUAACCCACACCAUAUCUUCAUGAAGUGGCCAUAUGGAUUUGAUCCCUAUCCUUCAGAGGUGCUCAGCCUAAGGGAACACGGAUAGUAGAUUAAGCACUGACCAGAGCCAGCCUUGACAAUGUGCUGAUGGCAACCUAGAACAUAAGCAGAGGAGUAUACAGGACAAGAACUUGAUGGUCUCGGGAAAAUGGACAACAUGACUCAGGUGAAAAAGAUUGAUCAUCAGAUGUUUCUUAUGUAUCAACCUGAUAUUUAAAUCCAUGAAGGACAGAGACGACAAAGGCAGGUGGAAUAGAUAGAGAAGAGAUUCAAGGUCUGAGCUCUACAUUACUCAAACUGUUAGAGAUUAGGAAGAAGAGGAAGACCUGGCAAAAGAAUGUCCUGGGAUGUAGAAAGAAAACCAGAAGCUUGUGUUCUCUGGAAACCAAAUGAAGAAAGGGCUUCCAGAAGGACAGACAAAGUGUAGUGUGUCAAAGGCUCCUGAGCAAUCAGAGGAGAGCACAAAGGGGCUCACAGGACUUUGGUAUCUGGAUCACCCAGUGACACUUCCUGAUCACGAGAAACUGUCAGACCAACAGGGGCACUUUCUGAAACCAGCAGUUCUUCAGUGCCCAAAUGCAACCUUGAUGGUUUGAUUUUGGAGGAUGGCAAUUCAUUAACAGCACUCCCCAGUGAUAAAUAUGAAAACCAAUAAAACCCCCCACCCAAGGCAAUCUCUCCCAGCUCCUCGCUUUGAGUAAAGAGAAACCAGGAGAAGGCAGUCCUAGGGCAGUCUCCGGGCCAGCUUUCCCUAAUAAGAAGGCAGAGCUCCUCUUCACCCAGACUUCAGACCUAUAGAGGCAGCCUGGGGUCCCGGGAUGCCCUUGCACUCAGAGAUGUCCCCAGAGUCCUAGGGAAAUGGAGGAUAACUAGGAGGAAGCUGUUCAUGGCUGGCGAUGAGGUCUAUACCUUCUUGUCCGUCUCAGUGCUGUCUGCUAUUGAAUUUUUGUGCAGAUCACAUUAACUUAAAGCCAGUUCUCAAGAAGCUCCCCCUGCCGCCGGCAUAUCCACCAGUUGCUCCCCUUUCCUGCCAUUAAUCAGGGUCUGCUAGUUAGAGAACAAAUUCCUAUUUGUCCAAACAGUUGCCAACACCCCCACCCCAAGGUAGUUAAAUGAGGAUGAAUGGGUCAUUCUUAUUAAAAAAUGACUUAAAUUUCUCAAAUUCUAUUUAUGUUUCUUUUACAUCCCAAUUUUCUAUAGAUUUAGUGACUCCAAAUGAUAAGGUCUCAAGCUCAUAAUAAUUUAUCCCUUGGGUAACACACAAGGCUUGGUGGUAUUUCAGUAAUAUUCAUGACAACAGCAGCUGUCGUGCUAAUAAGGACUGAUGUCACCAGAGCACUUUCUAUGUGCCAAGCAUGGUGCACAACACUUUACAUACAUUAUGUCAUUUAAUUUUCACAAAACCUCACAGAGGUAAAUAUUAUUAUCUUCCUCUGCAUAUAAGGAAAUGAAUGUUCGGAAAGAUUAAGUCAACUCACUGAGGUCCCAUCAGUGCUCUUUCAUAUGCCUCUGUUGCAGUCUCAUUGAACUGCUGAAAUCAGAAAAACCUGGAGACCUUGUUAACCUUCAGAUUCCUGGGCCCCAUCUUAGAUGCAGGGAGUCAGACUUCCUGGGAGUGUGGCCCUGGAAUUUUCAUUUGUAAACACAUUCCCCAAGAGACCUGUAUGCACACUAAAGUGGGAGAAUUCACGAUCUCUGGCUUUUGUGAUGUUUUAAACGCACUAUAUAAUUUCAGUAGCAAAAGAAUUGGGCUUUGGGAAGGGAGUGUGUGGUGAACCCUGAAAGCUGAAUGGACUUCCUUCCUGUGGAGGAGCAGUGGGAGAAACUGGAGGCAGAGAGCUGUGUUUCAUUCCUUGAUUGAGCCUUUGUGAGUUAUUUAAUCUCUUUCAGUCUCUAUUUUUUUCAUUUGUAAACCAGGAAGGAUACUUGUAUUUUCCAGGUGGUUGUGAGGUGUGAAAGAGAUGAGAGUAGAACAAAAUUUUAAAAGUUGAAAGCACUCAACAAAUGUAUUUGGUAUUAAUCAUGGGUUUCCCUGGGGCCGAGGAAGCCACCAGCCACCGCAGGCCUGUACACAAUGCCAGCCACCAUGUAUGGAUACGGAGGAGGCAAAAGGACUAGCGAACACUCCCAGGGACUGGAUGUCUUGAAUAUCUGUCCAACUUUCUUGGGAGGGGCCAUUUCUUCUGUAACUCAAAGGAAUUUAUUAUUUUUCAGCCAGGGAGGCAUGCUUUCUAUCUACUGCUAGUACUCCCAGACCAAGCUGUUUCAGUGGGACUGAGGUGUGACUUCUGCCUCGGUUUCAUCCAUCUGUGCAGGGAAGAGAAAAAUGCCUGCACCUCCACGGUCACACCCUCUGUUGGAACCACCUCCUUAAGCCAGAAUUAUUGAAUGUUCUCUAUGUGCCAGAAUUAUUAUUAUCUCAUUUGAUUCUCACAACAAUGCCAUGAAGUCUAUACAGACAUACCUUGGAAAUACAGCGGGUUUGGUUCCAGACCACCGCAAUAAAGCUAAUACCGCAAUAAAAUGGGUCACACGAAUUUUUUGGAUUAGGCUUCGGCUUAAGGGAAUGUUGUGGCUGGUUUGAUGUUUUAUCCAGACCGCUAACACUUUCUCCCUAUCAGCAAUGAGGCUGUUUUGCUUUCUUAUCAUUCCUGUGUUCACUGGAGUAGCACUUUUAAUUUCCUUCAAGAACUUUUCCUUUGCAUUCAUAACUUGGCUAACUGUUUGGCACAAGAGGCCUGCCUAGCUUUUGGCCUAUCUAAGCUUUUGACUUGCCUUCCUCACUGAGCUUAAUCAUCUCUAGCCUUGGAUUUAACGUGGAAAAUGUGUGACCCUUCCUUUCACUUGAACACUUGGAAGCUAUUGUAGGGUUAUUAACUGGCCUAAUUCAAUAUUAUUGUGUCUCAGGGAACAGGGAGGCCCAGAGAGAGAGAGACGGGAAAACAGAAAGUCAGUGGGGCAGGCAGAACACACACGUUUAUUUAUUAAGUUUGCUGUCAUAUGUUGGUGCAGUUCAUGCUGCCCCAAAACAAUUACAAUAACAAGAUCAAAGAUUCCUGGUCAUAGAUUGCCAUAACAGAUACAGUAAUCACGAAAAAGUUUGAGAUAUUGUGAGAAUUACGCAGAUAUUGUGAGAAAUAUGACCCAGAGACAAGAAGCGAGCACAUGCCGUUAGAAAAAUGGCACCAACAGACUUGCUUGCUGCAGGGUUACACAUACCUUCAAUUUGUAAAAAAAAAAAACUGUAAUAUCUGCAAAACGCAAUAAAGAAAAGUGUAAUAAAAUGCAGUCUGCCUGAACUUCAAUUAUUCCCAUUUUAUAGAAGAGGAAAUAGAUGCAGGGAGUUUGAUCUGCCUGAACUAGUAAAUGGUAGAACUCUGGGACUAACAUUCCUAUCCUCUAUGCUACAUUCCUAGGAAAGAACGCUCAGACAGGGUUGGACUGAGAGUGUGUUAAGCUUUGCACUGUUUUGAGCCCUCUGAAGGAGUGUCCGUAUUUGAAAGCUGGCCUCCUUCCUUUCACUGGCCCUCCACAGUGUGGCCUAAGUUAUUCAAUUAGGAAGGGAAAUAAUUGGCAGUGGAGAAUGCCUCUAGCAGUGGUAAUUACCUCCAGUGCCUUGUAGGAAUAGUCAAGCUACAUUUCAGUUUAUGCUGUAAAACCUUAAUUAUAAUAUAAACAGCUGCCCUUCAGCCCAGUGGGGCAGCCUUCCCCCGCCUUCCUUCUCUGGCCUCUGAAUGGCCCUGCCUCCUGAAUGGUCAGGGAGGUCCAGGGACGGAAGGAGACCUGGGAGGAGGGGAGCCGAUGACUAUGCGUGCGUUGGGGUUUGGAAGACUAAGCUGGAGGGAGCCACUGCCAGGGUCCCAUCUUCAAGUGAUGAAGCCAAAGGCAGCAUCCCCAUUCUUGGUACCACUCACACUGAGUCUCUUGGGGGAGCAGCCUCCAGCCAUUAGCAGUCAGCCCAGUGCCAUUAGGCUAGGAUAGGGUUUAGCAGGCUAUGGUAUCAUUUCAGGGUAACAUCUCUUUCUAUUUACUCCCCUAUAAGGGAGAACAGAGUCUUCCCUUCUAGAUCCAGACUUCCUGGCCAUGUAGGAGCCCUGUUGAGUGCCUGGUGCACUCUAGGUAGUAUGCGAGGCAUGGUUGCAAGGGUUCCCCAUUUCAACUUCACAGCACUUGGAUACACAGAAAAUUAACAUCCUCAUUUGACUAUUGAGGAAAAUGAGACUUUGAAAGUUUAAACGGAGAUAAGGCUUGGGAGGCAGACAGCCCUGUAAGUGACUUAAGUUCAGGAAGGAGAAGGACACUCAAUAUUUUUGUUCAGAGCACUGGGAAGGAGAGAGAGGGAUCAGUCACCAUCGGGCAUUUGAGAAGGUCCAGGAACAGGGGGCUGGUGAGCAGAGGGGGGAAUAACACCAGAGGGGCUGAAAUUGCUGAUUGCUGGGUUCACAGAUCUACCCACGAGCGGCCCAGGUACCCCAUGAGCGGCUGCUCUGUGUCAUCUGACCACUGGAUUGUAACCUGGGCUGAAAGAAUCAGAAGUCAGUGUGGCGAGGCAGGAGUCCUCAGAUGGUCAGAGCUGACUCUUCAACUCUUAAGGGCAAAAUGGAAAAUGUGAGCUUGUUGGUGGUCUUCGAAACACAGUAAGCAAUCCAUGCCCCUGAAGAGCAGGGAUAAUUAUAGGCAUGCCCUUGUUUUAUUGUGCUUUGCAGAUAUUGCAUGUUUUUACAAAUUGAAGAUUUAUGGCAACUCUGCAUACAGCAAAUCUAUUGAUGCCAUCUUUUUCCAAUAUCACAUGCUCACUCUGUGUCUCUGUCUCACAUUUUGGUAGUUCUCCCAAUAUUUCACACCUUAUUAUUAUUAUUAUAUCUGUUAUGAUGAUCUGUGGUCAGGGAUCUUUGAGGUUACUAUUGUAGUUGUUUUGAGGUGCCAUGAACUGCACCCAUGUAAGACAGCGAACAUAAUCAAUAAAUGUUGUGUGUUCUGACUGCUCCACCAACCGACUGUUUCCCUGUCUCUUUCUCUCUCCUCUGGCUCCCUAUUCCCUGAGGCACAAUCAUAUUGAAAUUAGGCCAAAUAAUAACCCUACAAUGGCUUCUAAAGGUUCAAGUAAAAGGAAGAGUCACAUCUCUUACUCUAAAUCAAAAGCUAGAAAUGAUUAAGCUUAGUGAGGAAGGCAUGUGGAAAGCUGAGA